UUUGCAAGUUUUUACCCUGAACCUAUGGUACUUAGGCCCUGUUUGUUUACCUCUUAAUUGCAAAAUUAAGAGGUUAGGUCUUAAAAAUUCAGAUUCAGAUUGUUUGUUUGCCUCUUAUUUUUUACCUCUUAAAGUUCUAAAUGCCUCUUAAAUAUUCAGAUAUUAAACCAAGUCUGAAUUUUAUAAAAACACACGUUUUCCUUUUCUACCCUAAUCAAUCGACGAACACCUUCACUAAACCAACGCCCCCACUUCCUCUUCAAUCCGUGUGCGAGGUUCAUACCUUCACCAGGUUCUCCGACGACGCCGCCUGCAACGAUGCCGCUGCACCGCAACGUCGUUGCCGCCUCCUCGAACGAUGUUGCCGCCUCCGUUUCCGAUGUUCCAGUGUGUAGGAAGUAAAUUUGGUUUCAAGACAUAUGGGAUAGGUGGUGGUGUUUUUUCCAAUGUCACUAGUUGCAACAUGGAUUGAAAGAAGUAUCUUUAUUUGGAUAUUGUAUGAUGUUUAUGUUUUCAUGGAUUAAAAGAAGUGAAUGGAAGAAUUUAUGUUUAACUUGGUUUUAUUGUAUGACUUAUAUGUUUUAUUGGAUUGAAAAAAGUGAAUACGAAAGAAUUUAUGCUUAA